AGGGUCCGUAGCCGGUUUAAUCAGUCUUCUGGGAAAUCUAAUCGCUUAACUAUUAGGCUUCCAGGGGAUACUGUUAGACUUGGGACCGGGAGAGGUAAGAGGUACUGCAGGGGUAGGAGUGAAAUCUUGUAAUCCCUGUGAGACCACCAGUGGCGAAGGCGUCUUACCAGAACGGGUCCGACGGUGAGGGACGAAAGCUGGGGGCACGAACCGGAUUAGAUACCCGGGUAGUCCCAGCUGUAAACGAUGCUCGUUAGGUGUCAGGAACGGUGCGACUGUUUCUGGUGCCGAAGGGAAGCCGUGAAACGAGCCACCUGGGAAGUACGGCCGCAAGGCUGAAACUUAAAGGAAUUGGCGGGGGAGCACUACAACGGGUGGAGCCUGCGGUUUAAUUGGACUCAACGCCGGAAAACUCACCGGGGGCGACAGCAAUAUGUAGGUCAGGUUAAAGGUCUUACCUGAAUCGCUGAGAGGAGGUGCAUGGCCGUCGUCAGUUCGUACUGUGAAGCAUCCUGUUAAGUCAGGCAACGAGCAAGACCCGUGCCCACUGUUACCAGCAUAUCCUUUAUGGAUGAUGGGGACUCUGUGGGGACCGCUGCUGCUAAAGCAGAGGAAGGUGCGGGCUACGGUAGGUCAGUAUGCCCCGAAUCUCCCGGGCUACACGCGGGCUACAAUGGUUGGGACAAUGGGUAUCUACUCCGAAAGGAGUUGGCAAUCUCUUAAACCCAAUCGUAGUUCGAAUUGAGGGCUGUAACUCGCCCUCAUGAAGCUGGAAUCCGUAGUAAUCGCGUUUCAACAUAGC
rnacentral:rRNA from 1 species